rnacentral:rRNA from 1 species
UACGUAGGGUGCAAGCGUUAAUCGGAAUUACUGGGCGUAAAGCGUGCGCAGGCGGGUCUAUAAGGAAGAUGGGAAAUCCCCGGGCUCAACCUGGGAACUGCAUUUGUGACUGUAGAGCUGGAGUACGGUAGAGGGGGAUGGAAUUCCGCGUGUAGCAGUGAAAUGCGUAGAUAUGCGGAGGAACACCGAUGGCGAAGGCAAUCCCCUGGACCUGUACUGACGCUCAUGCACGAAAGCGUGGGGAGCAAACAGG